rnacentral:rRNA from 1 species
GAGCGAACCGUGCGAACGUUGUUCGGAAUCACUGGGCUUAAAGGGCGCGUAGGCGGGUGAGCAAGUCUGAGGUGAAAUCUUUCGGCUUAACCGGGAAAACAGCCUUGGAUACUGCUUGUCUUGAGGGGAGGUAGGGGGCAGAGGGAACUUCGGGGUGGAGCGGUGGAAAUGCGUAGAUAUCGAGAGGAACACCUGCGGCGAAGGCGGGUUGCGUGGGCUGACACUGACGCUGAGGCGCGACGAGCGUGGGGAGCAGACAGG